GACGAACGCUGGCGGCGUGCUUAACACAUGCAAGUCGAACGGAAAGGCCCUGCUUUUGUGGGGUGCUCGAGUGGCGAACGGGUGAGUAACACGUGAGUAACCUGCCCUUGACUUUGGGAUAACUUCAGGAAACUGGGGCUAAUACCGGAUAGGAGCUCCUGCUGCAUGGGGGGGGUUGGAAAGUUUCGGCGGUUGGGGAUGGACUCGCGGCUUAUCAGCUUGUUGGUGGGGUAGUGGCUUACCAAGGCUUUGACGGGUAGCCGGCCUGUGAGGGUGACCGGCCACCUUGGGACUGAGGUACGGCCCAGACUCCUACGGGAGGCAGCAGUGGGGAAUCUUGCACAAUGGGCGGACGCCUGAUGCAGCAACGCCGCGUGCGGGAAGACGGCCUUCGGGUUGUAAACCGCUUUCGCCUGUGACGAAGCGUGAGUGACGGUAAUGGGUAAAGAAGCACCGGCUAACUACGUG
rnacentral:rRNA from 1 species